AAUUUAUAAAGAGAACCUUAGUGCAUUACUUGUCUAACUUUAUCCCUUUCUUUCCUUUUAGCUGUACUCAUUCUCAGUCUAGCACUGGAACUGAUCCUGAUGUUUUUCCUACUAAAACUGAAAGGGAUCUGAUGGUUCGUGGCCCAGUUUGGUUUAAUAUUUUCCUUAUUGGUUUUGGUUUUCUAGAUACCAACAGGAAAAGAAUCUGAGUUGUAGCUAAGUGCUCCUGACAUGGCAGACUGUUGAUGUAACUGGAGACGCUUCUGAUUCUGAUAGAGGUCACAGGGGUAUGCUAGCCAAUGACUGGGUAAAGAGAUAGAGGUUCCUUCUCACAGAGGGAAGGAGCUAUAACGUGAAGACCGUGGUCUUUGCUUUAUUAUCUCUGAACAUGUAAAGGGCACCAAGUUCAUUAGUCUAG
rnacentral:lncRNA from 1 species